rnacentral:lncRNA from 1 species
UUUUUUUUUUGAGUGGGGGUGUAUACGUUUAUGUCAAGAGAGAACGUUUAUGUGGCCCGACGAGGACGCCGGUUUCUCUGAGUGGGGGUGUAUGUGAUAGCAUGACUUAUUAGGGAUGAUAGACUACUCAUAUCAAUAAUGAAUUCUUUCUUUUCUGAGAGUUCAUUUGGACAUAACUUUAAAGUUAAGCGUGUUCAGUUUGGAGUAGUUUCGAGAUGAGCGAUCGACCGGGAAGUUACUCUUAGGUGCGCACGAGUGAGGACAAAGUACACAGAAAAUACUAAUAUUGAUUUGUGAACCAGUCUAGAUCCCGCUAGAAGUAACGACUACCGACAGAUAUGUCCGAGGCGUUACAGGGCGAGCAAAGGCAAAGGAAAGACAAACACACACGGCCCGCCCUUUCGUGCGCUGUCCAUUACGCUGCAAAAACGACCCAAGUUUGAGUCGGGAGUGAGUCAAAGGUGGACAAAAAUGCACAUCCCUGCGUUGGAUAGUCACGACCCAAGUUUGAGUCGAAAAUGAGUCAAAAGUGAACAAAAAUGCACAUUCCUGCGUUGGAUAGUCUGGUAUGUCAUUUUACCUUAAACGGACGCCUCCAAACAAAUUGGGGUCACGUGCUGGAGUUGGCCUAAGGACAGCCUCCGCCACCUAAGGACAGCCUUCGCCGAUGCGGCGGAGAGGCUUGCCAUGCAUCUCGACGGAUGCACCAGCCUACGCCCUCCGGCGAUGGGGGCGAGGGAAGGAGCGGCGACCGCGAUUAGUUUUUUUCCCUCGUUAACCUUUUUUGGUAAUUGUUCAGUUAACUUUUUUUUUUGAGAAACCCAAGAAAUUGUUCAGUUAACUGGGCGGGAAGGAAAUAGCUGACGCCCGGACCAGAUCGUCCUCGGCUGUCACCUAGCCCACUAAUGAACUAGUACUACGUGGAUUGGACUGUGAAUGAAGAUGCCAUCGCUGGCCUGAAGCCCAUCUAAAUGAGCCUGGUAUAGAACAAAUCGCCCACAAACACGAUCUUAAAAUGGAAGGUACCCUAAAAAAAUCUGAAACUUCCCACCAAACCGCCGACGCCAAUCUGAACCUAAGGCUCGUAGCAUAAGUUCAUUUCUGGUCAGCAAGCUGCAAAACCUUGUUUAGAAACGUGACGGAUUAUUUCAUCUUCGUUGAGUUUCAUCAUCGAGAAGUGCCUUCAUAAUAUACUCCCUUCAUGGCCGGCUUCAUCUUAGGCAGCGCUUUCUCGACGGGGUGGGCCAUUCUUGGGCUUUGGUAACGCUUUCAAGGACGUGUUGUAGUGUGUUAAUUCUUUUUCUUUGAAUGUGUCUUCUUUAGACUGGCCAUAUUGUACUUGGAACGGUAGUAAAGUAAUUUCAUGAACAAUUGUAAGUAAUUGGUACUCUCUCGACUACAUAACGAGUACAUAGGAAUGAGCGUGCGUACAUAGGAAUGAAUCUGUGAUUAAAAAAAUACUACUAUACAUCGUUUAUUGAAUAGAAGUUAGUGUGGAGUUUUCGCAGACACGGCCACUAUUUAUUUAUCAACUCAUAUAUCCGGGGAUCAUUGGCUACAGAACGUACAUACAUGCCAAAAUUUUGCAGCCAGGGUACAUGGAUUACGAUCGAGCUACAUAUAUAGAGGGGCUACGGCGGCUACAAUCCAGGGACCAAAAUUUUGUAGCCAGCCGUACGUACGCCAUGUCCGUGCGAGCACGAAGACAUGCAUGCAUCAACGCUACUACGUAAGCUGCAUCCUUCAACCUAGCCUACUACCACGUACACCCAUAGCACUACGUACUAACUUACAGUACAUCCACACGUACGAUAUAUAUAUAUAUAUAGGAGGGCCGGCCUGUGAGGCCGUACAUCGUCUACCUCGCUCGAUCAU